rnacentral:rRNA from 1 species
GACAGAGGUGCCGGGCGUUAGGCGGAAUCACUGGGCUUAAAGCGUGUGUAGGCGGGCGAUCAAGUACCUUGUGAAAUCCCACGGCUCAACCGUGGAACCGCUGGGUAUACUGGUUGUCUUGAGCCGGCUAGGGGCGAGCGGAACAGACGGUGGAGCGGUGAAAUGCGUAGAUAUCGUCUGGAACGCCGAAGGUGAAAACAGCUCGCUGGGGCCGCGCUGACGCUGAGACACGAAAGCCAGGGGAGCGAACGGG